AAAACUUUCAACAACGGAUCUCUUGGUUCUGGCAUCGAUGAAGAACGCAGCGAAAUGCGAUAAGUAAUGUGAAUUGCAGAAUUCAGUGAAUCAUCGAAUCUUUGAACGCACAUUGCGCCCCUUGGUAUUCCGGGGGGCAUGCCUGUUCGAGCGUCAUCG
rnacentral:rRNA from 1 species